AAUUUCUGGUACGGUGCGCCUGGUCCGCUGCCGCAAGGUACGCGAGUGCUGGUUGUGCGUCUGCCAUACUUGUAGCUAAGCAUCUCUUUACUGGGAUGCCGAACUACAUCUUUUACUUUGAAAAAAUUAGAGUGUUUAAAGCAGGCAUUGCGCUAUGAAUACAUUAGCAUGGAAUAAUAAUUUAGGACUUUGUUCCUAUUUUGUUGGUUUCUAGGAGUGAAGUAAUGAUUGAUAGGGAUAGUUGGGGGUGCUAGUAUUCAUCGGCCAGAGGUGAAAUUCUUGGAUUCGAUGAAGACUAACUUAUGCGAAAGCAUU
rnacentral:rRNA from 1 species